rnacentral:misc_RNA from 1 species
UCACUAAUUUGUUUGUAUCCAAACAAACUGCAGUCAAACUGCGCGUGUGAGAUACUUGGACCCACCACAGAUCGUCGUAAGUUAGCAGUUAGCACUCACCAACCGCAACAAUGAUUAUCAACGCGAAGGAGUCAACGCUGGUGCAGCCGGCGGAGAAGACGCCACGGUUGGGGUUGUGGAACGCGAACGUCGACCUCGUAGUGCCGAGAUUCCACACCCCAAGCGUCUACUUCUACAGACCUACUGGUGCUCCCAACUUCUUCGAUCCAAAUGCGGUCAAGGAGGCUCUCAGUAAGGCCCUCGUGCCUUUCUAUCCGAUGGCCGGACGGUUGCGGAGAGACGAGGAUGG